AUCCUUUUUUGGUUCAUGAGUGUGAUGAUUGAGGAUUCACGCCAAUGUGUGAUGUGUGCCAUCCACGAAACCUUGUUAUUAUGUUGACACAUUAUCUGUCUGAUG